CUGCUUUUCCUGAGUGCCCACUGGGCUAUCCCAGACUUUUCUCAUUUUUCUUCCCACUUUUCCCAGGGAGAUCAAGCUGCGGAAUUACGAUCCCGAGGAUGAGGAGCUGAAGAAGAGGAAGCUGCCCCCGGCCAAACCUGCCUCAGUGGAGGACACGGUGAAGGAGCAGCUGGAAGCGGCCAAGCCGGAGCCAAUCAUCGAUGAGGUGGAUUUGGCAAACUUGGCUCCCAGGAAACCUGACUGGGAUUUGAAGCGGGAUGUGUCCAAGAAGCUGGAAAAGCUGGAGAAGAGGACCCAGAGAGCCAUCGCGGAGCUGAUCCGUGCGUUCUGGAGCUGUGGGAACGGGGUGGCUCAUUCCAGAGGGAUUCCCUGAUCCGUGCUGGGAUCCAUGCAGGGAGGGAUUGGUGGUGUUUGAUCCCUUCCCAAGUGGAUCUGGGAAGCUGUUGGUGCCAAGGAGCUUCCCAAGGAGACUCCAGGAGCACUUGGGUUGUGCCAAGGGAAGGGGUUUGGGUCACUCCCAAUCCAACCCAUCCAUCCCUUCUGUCUCAGUUUGGAGAGACAGGAGCCUGCAAGGGAAGGCAGGAGCCUCCCCUGAAAUGGAGAAUGUAAACCCUCCCCACCCCUCCAAAUUGCUAUAAAUUUUAAAU